AUUGAACGCUGGCGGCAUGCCUUACACAUGCAAGUCGAACGGCAGCACGGGAGCAAUCCUGGUGGCGAGUGGCGAACGGGUGAGUAAUACAUCGGAACGUACCUGGUAGUGGGGGAUAGCCCGGCGAAAGCCGGAUUAAUACCGCAUACGACCUGAGGGUGAAAGCGGGGGAUCGCACGACCUCGCGCUAUUGGAGCGGCCGAUGGCAGAUUAGGUAGUUGGUGGGGUAAAGGCCUACCAAGCCUACGAUCUGUAGCUGGUUUGAGAGGACGACCAGCCACACUGGGACUGAGACACGGCCCAGACUCCUACGGGAAGCAGCAGUGGGGAAUUUUGGACAAUGGGCGCAAGCCUGAUCCAGCCAUGCCGCGUGCGGGAAGAAGGCCUUCGGGUUGUAAACCGCUUUUGUCAGGGAAGAAAUACUCUGGGCUAAUACCCUGGGGUGAUGACGGUACCUGAAGAAUAAGCACCGGCUAACUACGUGCCAGCCGCCGCGGUAAAAC
rnacentral:rRNA from 1 species